rnacentral:rRNA from 1 species
CGUGCAUAACACAUUCAAGUCGAACGGAGUUGAUUUGAUUAAUCCUUCGGGAAGCGUCAAGCCAACUUAGUGGCGGACGGGUGAGUAACGCGUGAGCAACCUGCCUCUGUAUGUGGGAUAACGUCGGGAAACUGACGCUAAUACCGCAUGAAGCAUGACUGUCGCAUGACGGACAUGCCAAAGAUUUAUUGUACAGAGAUGGGCUCGCGUCUGAUUAGGUAGUUGGUGAGGUAACUGCCCACCAAGCCGACGAUCAGUAGCCGGACUGAGAGGUUGAACGGCCACAUUGGAACUGAGAUACGGUCCAGACUCCUACGGGAGGCAGCAGUGGGGAAUAUUGGGCAAUGGGCGAAAGCCUGACCCAGCGACGCCGCGUGAGGGAAGAAGGUCUUCGGAUUGUAAACCUUUGUUGAUAGGGAAGAAGAAAGUGACGGUACCUAUCGAGGAAGCCACGGCUAACUACGUGCCAGCAGCCGCAGUAAUAC